rnacentral:tRNA from 1 species
AAGGGAGACCUAAUUCAGGUAUGGGACGAAAAAAAAGUAGUCGCUACCAAGAAUCAAUCCCAAAAGGUCGGAGCGAGGUAUGAGGCUUUCAAACUAGGUUCUGGGUUCAAACAAGACCUGAAUCAGGAACAAGGGCUAUUAGCUCAGGUGGUUAGAGCGCACCCCUGAUAAGGGUGAGGUCCCUGGUUCGAGUCCAGGAUGGCCCACCUGCACAGGUGGCAAAAACAAGAGAAGCGAGGAAUCAGCACCUUAUCUUAUCUAUAUAUAAGAGAGAAUGCUGGCUCCGAGUAAAGAGUCCAGAGGAACCUUGAAAACUGCAUAGAGCUAGGUGAAAAAGCCAAAAAAGAAGACCGCAA